CUUAAGGCCCCGAAGCAGAAUUUCCGACCACUGCACAAUCAACAGCACAAGAAACUCAAACGUCCAAGAUGAGGUCCAAUAUCGCCCUAACCAUCGGUCUCCUGUUGGCUGCCUUUGUCCUCAUGGCGACUCUCUCUCCUGCAGCUUGCAGUGUCAUGAUAACCACAACUGCUCAGAAAUAACUGUCGACUGCAACGAGGACC
rnacentral:lncRNA from 1 species